GCGUCGUAGAGGGUGAGAAUCCCGUCUUUGACACGGACUGCCGAUGCUUUGUGAUGCGCUCUCGAAGAGUCGAGUUGUUUGGGAAUGCAGCUCAAAACGGGUGGUAAAUUCCAUCUAAAGCUAAAUAUUGGCRAAAGACCGAUAGCGAACAAGUACCGUGAGGGAAAGAUGAAAAGCACUUUGGAAAGAGAGUUAAACAGUACGUGAAAUUGUUGAAAGGGAAACGCUUGAAGUCAGUCGCGUCUUCCGGGACUCAGCCUUGCUUUGGCUCGGCGUACUUCCUGGGGUGACGGGCCAGCAUCGAUUUCGAUCGUCGGAGAAAGGCCUUGGGAACGUGGCACCUUCGGGUGUGUUAUAGCCCUCGGUCGUAUGCGACGGUUGGGAUCGAGGACCGCAGCACGCCUUUUUGGCCGGGGUUCGCCCACGUACGUGCUUAGGAUGCUGGCGUAAUGGCUUUAAGCGACCCGUCUUGAAACACGGACCAAGGAGUCUAACAUGCCUGCGAGUGUUUGGGUGGCAAACCCGGACGCGGAAUGAAAGUGAAAGGUCGGGACCUCUGUCGUGGAGGGCACCGACGCCCGGACCAGACCUUCUGUGACGGUUCCGAGGUAGAGCACGCAUGCUGGGACCCGAAAGAUGGUGAACUAUGCCUGAGUAGGGUGAAGCCAGAGGAAACUCUGGUGGAGGCUCGUAGCGAUUCUGACGUGCAAAUCGAUCGUCGAACUUGAGUAUAGGGGCGAAAG
rnacentral:rRNA from 1 species